rnacentral:piRNA from 1 species
GUUGCAAAUUACUUUAAGAGAAUAUUAGU